CAUUAUCCAUCCAACCAAACUGAGCUAUGAAGAUAUGAUAUUCGAGAUAUCAAGACACGACAGCUUGGAUAUAUGACAGAAAAAAACAGUUCAGAGGUGCUCCAAAAUUAUAGGCUAGUCAUGGAACCAGAAAGCUAAAGCUUCGGAUCAACCCUUCACUUCUUCGCCUUCUUUGGUGCCCUGUCAUCCCAAAAGUGCAGGAAGACACAUCAACAAAACAUGAUAAUUACAAACUCAAGGAAACUAUUAAUGUGCAAGGAGUUCAAAGGCCACUUGUACAAGAAAUACAGGAAAACACAUCAAGAAAGCAUGACAAUUACAUACUCCAAGGGAACUAGGAAUGCGAUAGGAGUACUAAGGCCACUUACACUGCAGACGGAGCUGGAGCAGCAGCUGAUGGUGCUGCAGGUUCCCUCGGGCCCUAAACAAAGAUGAAACAUACAUUUCAACAUGGAAUCUAAACAAAAGAAAAGACCAAAAAAAAAGAUCAAAAUGUCUUGGCCUUAAAGGGAAAAAACAUGAACCUACCAAACCAGCUCCGAACAAAUAACGACUCCAACAAUUACUGUAACAGCUAAUAAAGCUAAUGCGUGGCUCUACAAGUAGCAAGAUUAACAUUUUUGUAACAUGUUCAAGUGGAUCAAGAACACACAUUUUAAGACAAACUAAUAAAACUAAUGCAUGGCUCUACAAUAUGUUUUAAGAACAUACUUUCAUGUUUCAGUGGAUCAAAAAAUAACUAUUUAAUGGCAGUUCAAAUUUGCUAGUCCACAAGGCCCGGUUCAGAAUCCUAGUAUCACAUGGGCAUUAAAAGGCAUUCCAGCGUCAUAUAAUCAGCAGGUUGCCACACAAAUUCAGAAAUAAAUGCAGGUCUGAGUUAACAAGACAUUAUCUUACCUGGGCCAACCUCUCCUCCCUCCUAGCAAGCUUUCUCUCUCUGCUCGCCUUGCUCUUGGCACGUCUGGCCUCGAACUGAUCAGAGAGGGUCUUCUCCCUCGCCUUCUCAGCUUUUGACUUGUGGAUGCUCUCCAUCAGCACCCUCUUGUUCUUGAAGCUAUUUCCCUUGACCUUAACAUACAUCUCAUGAUACAUAUGUUUAUCAAUCUUCUUUGCCUCCCUGUACUUGCGGAGCAGGCGCCUCAGAACCCGCAUCCGACGCAUCCACAAUAUCUUGGUGGGGAGCCUAGCCUCCCUGGUACCCCUGCGCUUACCUGUAUAGUUUUUGGAUUAACAUAUAAUUUUAGGAUUUCAAAAAUGAAGAAGCAUCAGAUACAUAUGUACCAGACACAUAAAAUGGGAAAACCAGUGUAGCAGCAGUAUACCAUAUCCAGAGUGGCGUCCCUUCUGCUUGGCCUCAUGCGCCCUCCUUGCACGGGACCUGGAGUGGAUCUUCUGAGGCUUCCUGAUGAUGAAACCAUCCUUAACCAACUUCCUGAUGUUCUGGCCUGUAAGUUUUGUACCAAGCAUAUGGUCAUACUUAUGUUCCUUUCAGUAGUCAAUAGCAGAAAAAGAUAUUACAAUCUCAAUAUUUAACAAAAGCACAUUACACAGAGUACAAGUCCAAUCACAACACUCUCACUCAUCAAAACUGAAUUAACUCAAAAGACCAGAGCAUCCCAGAAGGUCAUAAUUGUGGUCUGUAUGACACGUACAUGAUAAAUCGGGGUAGCAGAAUUGUUUUAACUUUACCGAAUCACAUAAAACUGAAGAAACAUACCUAAGUAAUAAACCCAUCAAUUCAAUAUGCUUGGCAGGUACAAGGAAAUACAUCAUAAUAACAGAAAUGCUUCUUUCAUUGCAAAUCAUCACUUGCAUUCGCUGUACUAGGAAAAUAUCAAAAUUCAAGCUUUUUAACUACAUACAAAACUGCAUCACUCAGCAUAUAAUAUCUUCAACAGCUAAACUAGCAUCACAGACAAAUUAGACUGUACACAGCUAACAGGUAAUAAAUUCCAACAGCAACUACAACCUUCAUGCAAUUUAAGAGCACUAUCAGAGUAAAAUGGAUAAACAAUCUUGAUGGUGGUUACCACUGACGUCGUGGGUGACCUAAUAUGAACACCUGCAGCAAUGCAAAGCAAACAAAACAAGCUUUCCAUCGCUGCUUAUACCAACAAAAUAAACUGGCUUGUAUAUCUAGAUGGGUACGAACCUCAACAACAGCGAACCACAAGGACCUACCAGUCUAUCAAACGGAUCGGCCCAGCUGAUUUACUAGCGGAAUCACCACUUACCGCUGGCCUAAACGAAAUCAUCAUAGGCUCGAAAUUAAUCGUACGCGAGCAGAACUACAGAUCUAUCCGUACGCCACUAACCCAGCCCACUGGGCAACCAAGGAAGGAACGGGUGAUCGAUGGACGGAGGCGCCACACAGGAAACAAGGGCUGGCGCGCGGAGGGGGCGAGGUGCGGGGGGAAAGGGAGGUGGUCUUACGGGAGUUCGCCAUGGAGAUCUCGCUGACUUCAUUGGGAUCGAGCCAGACCUUGCCCUUGCCGCACUUGAGGACGCUGGCGGCGAGGCGCUUCUGCAGCUUCAGCGACACCAUCUUCUCCGCCGCCGAGAGGCUCUCCUCCGCCGGGUGGGUUGUGUGGCGGCGCUAGGGUCAUAUAUCACGGGAUUAGGGUUUCCCCGGCAGCCUCUCAAGUGGGCUGGGCCUGUGUCCUUUCAUUGGGUCGCUACUGUUGGGCCACAGCCCAUUAGAUGACCAGAUCAGAAGGCCAUUCGGGUUUUCUUUGUUUCUCUUUAAUUAUUUCCGUUUCUUUUUUUUUCCCUGAUUAUAUAACAACAACGCCAUUUGCCUCAGCUAGAGAUAAUCAGAUAACUUUUACUAUUUUUUUUCUUUUGAACCGCUAACAGAAGCCUCAGCUGAUUGAUUCACGCAACCUUCACGUUUAUUUCGUGUUUAGUCUUUAGGCUCGCAAGGAAUCUGGGUAAUGUGUAGGGAUGAAAACAUCCAUACCAACCGAUAUCAUUUCCAUAUUUAUUGUACCGUUCUCGACCGUUUCCGAAUUUAGCAAAAUAUAAAAGGUUGUCAUUCAACUAAUUUUAUAACCAUUUUGUACCGUAUUUCUAUUUAUCUAUUUCACGAAUAUGGGGAAAUCCCGUACCGACCGAUAUAGUUUCUGUAUUUGUGGUAUCGUUCCCGAUCAUUUUCAUCCCUAGUAAUGCGUGUUGUAUGUGUAGCGUGUGGUGGCCUUCGGCCGCCUACCGCCUACGCCUUGAGACCCGGAGUAUAAUUCUGCCUGUUCUUUUUAUCUUACAAGGAAACUAGUGGAAAUGCACGUGGUAUAAAAAGGAGCUAAAUAAGAUGUUUAUGUAGCUAUAAUAUAUUUCCAUAUUUAAUCGAAUUGAAUCACACGCUGAUCCGAACAAAUUGUCAUUAUUAAUUGUCAACAUAUUUGUGGAACACACUCUAUAUGCAAAGUACGAAAGGAUGUAGUUUGUAGUUCACUAUUUUAUGUGACAUCCCUAGUAAUUAGGAGCCACAUCAAGAAAAAAUGAGUUUAAAUCAAAGCAAAAUCAAAAUGGUUAAGUGUUAAACACCUUUUUAAUAAAGCACUUGGAAAGCAAAUAAAAAUAAAUUUUAUAUAAGAACUCAACUUGCCAAUAUGAAAGUUGUUGUUGGGAUACGAGGUAGGCUACGCUAGCGCAAAACAAAAUUUUUCUACCGCGUAAACCAAGAAAACUGUCGUAUAUCGAUCACGGGAUUACCACUCGACGCACAGGUGCGGAAGUUGUAAAAUCGCGUCAGGGCAGCGAAGUUAAUCAGCGUAGUCGAUCACAUCGACGUCGAGCAGCUCCUCAGCAACUCGUCCACGUGCAGCGAGGUCCUCCUCGUGCCACGGCUCGUCGUGGCUUAUCGACGGCUCGUCGUGGCUCGUCGGCGGCUCGUCCAAGUGCUGCAGGUGCAACACCUCCAAGGUAUCCACACAUGCAGGGAGGAAGCGUCGCAAGCCGGACUGCUAGGUCCGCGGGUUGCAACAGGGCGAGGGCGUGGGAGGCUCGGCAGAUGUGUUUUUCGGCCAAAGGGAUGAAACCCUAGGGCGCCCUCACCCCUCUAUUUAUAGAGGUUCCUGAUGGGCCUCUAGGUCCGAGGCCCAUUAGUACUCCUAAACCUGAUUCAAUUCGGAUCACAUCUGAAUUAGGCUUCCAACCCCUUAAGUGUGUGACCCUAUAGGUUUGGAUACGUAUAGACAUGGCUUAAGUACUCCUACUCGAUCCAAUAGUCGGUAGCGGCCUCUAGCAAGACGUGCCAACUCCUAUACGCACACGAAGAUCAUAUCAGACGAACCGUCACGACAUCACGUACUUGCUACUCCCUUUGCCUCAUAAUAUUUGGUCUAGCUCCAAGCCGACCGCUCUUUCUCGAUCCUGUGAUUCGGAAUUCCUUUGUAGGUUAACUCUUAACCGUACAUAGCAUGGCCAUGCAUUUUCGGAUCCGAUCACUCGAGGGGCCCAGAGAUAUCACUCUCAAUUAGAGAGAAGCAAAUCCCAUCUUGAUUUGACCAUGCCUUACAUCAUGCUUCUUGACAAAUCCGAAAGCUACCUUUUUAACUACCCUGUUACAGUGUAGCGUUUGAUAGACUCUAAGUAAGACAAUCCACAUCUUGAGUACAUGCGACAAUCUCAGGUCUAAGGACAAAGCGUGCAUGUUGUGUAAAGAGAGAACUACUUCUUGUGUUGGGUCAAUCCUAGCAUAUGUCUCCACAUACGCCUACAUUAUUAAUUUGACAUCUCCAUGUCCAUGACUUGUGAAACAUGGUCAUCAACUAAUACAUGUACUAGUCUAAUAUUCAUGUGUGUCCACACAUGAACUCAGACUAGGGACAACUUUAAAAUAACCAUACAAGUAAAGAGUUUCACAUACAAUUCAAAUAAUUGCAAAUCAAUUCAAGUAGCCUUUAAUGGAUAUUCAAGGAACACAAUAUUUUUGAAUUGCAAAUCAAUUCAAGUAGCCUUUAAUGGAUAUUCAAGGAACACAAUAUAAAAUACGGAUACAAAUGGAAUAUCAUCAUCUCUAUGAUUGCCUCUAGGGCAUACCUCCAACAGUAGAACAUUUCAAAACAAACAACUUUUGUUAUUAGAACUUCUUCUGAUUUUGUGGAGAAGAUGUUCAAAAACUAAGUAGAAGUUAUGCAUUGUUAAAUUCAAUUGAUCGUUGUUUAUUGUUGAAAAUUCAAAAUUGUGAAGAAACCCCAAUUUUUGCUUUACAACUAUGCAUCCUUUUAUUUUAUGUAAAUACUAGAUACAAUUUAGUGAUUUUACAAUAUUUUUACCAAAUUUUUCAGAAAUGUUUGCUUGUGCCAAAAAUUCAUUUAAUGUUUAAUUUUAGCUGUUUUGUUUUGUUAAUUGCGUGAAAACCAUAGCAGAUCUUGAGUUGAUUUUUGUUGCAUCAUAUUCUUUGUGAUUUUAUCUUUCCAACAAGUAUUUUUGGGCAAUUUUUGGACAAGUGUAGAGGGUCAAAUAAGGGGACAAAUUUGAAUUAGUUAAAAAAAAGUACGGACCCACUAAUCAGGGUCUUUUUCUUCCUCCUCUGCUUGCACCUGUGCGCUCACGGUUGGCCACUGGCAGCGCCCCUUGCCGGAUUGGGCACGCCAGUAGGGCGCCCCUCGCCGGUUGGCCCUCGGCUCGUCACCCACAUGAACCCUGACCAAGCCUACGCCCCUCCUCGCCCUCCAUUGGACCGAGCUCCCGUAGGCAGGCAUGGCCGCCAAAUGGCCGGCGAACUCCAGCGCCACCCCUCACCGCCAAUCCACGGCCCACGUGCUGUGUCAACCUUAUCCUCGCGCUGCUCCUCAUCUAUAAAGCAUGCCCGGCUUCUCCUGGAAGCCUUCCCCCUCCCAAACCACCAUUGCCAGUAACCAAGCUCCAAGUUUUCCCCUUUCUUUGCUGGCGAAAUUCAUCGCCAUCGGGUAGCCACUAACCGAUUCCUAGCACCAGCAGCAUCCUCAAGCCGCCGCGCAUCCGUUUUGCCGCUUCCCGGCCACCCUCCCUCGCCGGACGGUCCUCCCCACGGCGAGCCCAUCCGCCCCCAUCGCUACCUCCUGGAACUCCUAUGCACUAGCUCCUCCAUGCUCCCGAGCUCCGCUGGUGAGCACUCUUGGCCCUAGGGCGCCGCCCCUCUCCCUGCCGCGCCGUCCUUUCCUUUGCCCCUAUCGCCAUCAGCCCUGGGCAUUGCUGGCCAAGAACCGUGCGUGCCUCUGCCUGUUUGUUCUGUUGUAUACGUGAGGGUCUGAAAGGAAAAAGAAGAAGAAAGGGUAAAGGGUUAUGGGAUAAAUCCAGGGACCUUUGCACGAUUAAACCUUAGAUCUGGGGGCUAGUUUGCAAGUUGACCUUGGUUUUCUUUAAUUCCUAGAUCUAAAAAGGCUGAAACUUGGAAAGGUAUAGAAAAAUGGGGAAAAUGUGAUUCUUGUUUUGCUAGGUUCUAGGUGAUGUCUAGUUUACUUCAAAAAUGAUUUUUGUCCGUAUUACUAUUCUGUAGUAGGAGCUACGAUUUAUUUUUGUGUGAGAGCCAAUAAAUGCAUAGCCAAUCGUAUAGUGCUCUAAAAAAUGUGAAACCACUUUUGUUAGUUGACUUCUAGCAUGUAUGUUCAAGAUCUAAAACUUGUCCCACUGGUCUAGGUGAUGUUCAUGUAUUUUUAGAUCUACAAUUCUUAAAUGCUAGUUAAAUCUUGCUAUUUAUACUAUAAAGGGAAGAAAAUAGAGAAAAAUGCAAGAUCACUUUUGUUCAGUUCCUGAUACAAAUGUUUCCCUAGGAAAAAUACUAGUUACUAUUGGAUACAUGUUUUGUCUAGCUUAAAUAAGUGCAUGAAGUUUAAUACACUUAAACUAGGAUAAAUAGUUAACAUGCCCAAUAAAUCUUGCAAAAUUUAUGGUAGCCUCUGUUAGGGAUUGGUAACCUCCUGUAAAAAUCUCAGAUCCAGAUGGCCUCUAAAACUCGAGAUAAAAAUAGAUCUAUGAAAUCUAACAUAGGGUAUUGUUUUAAUGUUAAUAAUUUUUGUAGAAGUCAAAUAAGUCCCAAUUUUUUACAGUAGAUCAUUGGUGUGAUUAUGAAGCUUCUGUAAAAAUUUCAACACCAUAUCUUAUUAGAUUCUACCAGGAUCUUUUAUUCAAGUUUAAUAGCUGGUUAAAUGCAUAGUAACAAUUGCUAAGUUAGAAAGGGUAAAAUACUAAAUGCUUAGUUAUGUUCAAAAACUAGAUAAUUUUUUCCAAAUGAAUGAUGAACAACACCAAAAUGACCACCGCCUUUCUUUGAUGAAUUCUAAGUUAUUAAAACCUUAUAUGUGUAAACAACCACCAUCUAAAUAAAAGCUAUAUUUUCUUUCAAACCAAACUUGUUGUGUGAAGAAAAGAAAUGUUUGUAUACUUGUCUAGGUGAAUGUGUUCGAAGUGCACCGUGGGAUUUUACACUGUUUAUGAGAUGCAACCUACAUCAUGAAUGUUUAUAAAUGAAAUCUUAUACAUAUGCAUCUCGUGUAGAAGCUAACUUCGAUGACGGAACGAGAUCGGCCUAGAACGUGAAGAAGGACACUCUCUCGCUGUUCUGAAUGUGAUCGAGAUGAACCAAGGCCCAGACCAAUGUUCAGAAGAGCCCAAGGCUAACUUAGAGCAAGAAGGCAAGCCACGGAGCAUAAUCCUGAUUUCUAAAAUUAUGCACUACUUAUGCUAGAUAUGUUUGUACAUUAAGUUUAUAGGAGUUGCUUGAGACCCUAGUUGCAUGAUCCUAGGUACCUAUGUGCUGAAUACUAGUAUGUUAAGGCGAGUAGUUGCAAUGCUAAAUAGGGACACGGUAAAAGUCGUGUGAUUUCCUAUCACUCGCGAGCUAUCGGAGUUGCCUGAUUACUUAUGUUGCAAUCAUAAGGAUUGACAGGCCGGGCUGGGCUAUAUGUUAUGUUUUGGUGGAUGUUGUUUGCCCUAUCUUUCUAGUGGAAAACUUCUAAGGUUGAGAUGUGUUAGAACAGUGGUCAAGUGUUUGAAAGUACUAAUCUCAUAUCUAGUAUGGGAUGGGGAAGCCUAGUACCUGAUUGAACCGGUGUGGACCUUUACCCUGCUCUCUCUGGAACCGAGUUCCCAUGAGGCCUCAUGUGGAUACAAGUGUAGCCUCGGUACAGCGUCGUUCCGGGACCGUUGGGGCAUUGUAUGCCAAGGGAAGUGGGCUCUGGACAAACGCCGUGAAUUGAUGGGGACGGCUGAUAUAUGUGAACCCGGUGCGACAGUAGCAUAUAUCAUGGGGUUAAGUUCACCUUGCAAGGUUUAAAAACUCAAUUCGAAUCGUCUGCCUCUCACAGUUUGAGACUACUUGACUGCGCAUCUGCACUGAGUAAGAAGAAGAACAAAUGGUGAUGAAUAAUACUGAUGCUUGAAUUAAAUUGCUUGAUCACAUGUUUGCUUAGAAUAGGUGCUUACCUAGAAUGGAUAAUCAACUAGAACCUGAUGCUAAAACUUGAAAGUAAGGAUCCACCUUUAGAUGCUUUUGGCAAACAAACCCCUCAGCUAAAAAGUCUUGCAUGUCUAGAAGUUGGUGGAGUAGUUACCACCCGACGGUUAAGUCUUGCUGAGUAUUAGUAUACUCAGCCUUACUUGUGGCUUAUCUUUUCAGGUAAUAUGAUAUAUGUUGAUGAUUGUGCUACUAGCUUGACUUGGCUGACCCAGCUCCCUAAUGGUUGGACGAUCGAGUGGGACCCAUCCUCGGAUGGCGAGGAUCGCAGUUAUUGAUAUCAUGGUUGGCUUCGCCGUGAUAUUUUGUCUCGACGUGUAGUUGUUAUCGUUUUUCCGCUGCUUUGAAACUCUAAACAUUUCACUUAUGCACUUUUGAACAAUGGAUGUGUAAUAACUUAAUUCGGAUCUAUGUUUUAAGUACUGGAAUGUUGUAAUCUCUGGACUCGCCUUCGUGUGCGAUGCUUUUCAUUCGAUCCGAAACAAGUGGUUUAUCGGGUAUAACCCGACGGACUGCCGAAUUGACUUGAUUAAAAUGUGGUUCGCAUCUGAGGCGACGUUGAGAACACUUUAGCCGGGUUAAUUUGGGUGGUUCUGCCACAUUUUACAUGGUGUUUCGAUAUAUGGAAACUGAAAUUUUGAUGAUUAUGAAAAGGAAACGUUUGGACAAUUGCCAGUUGGGCUAUAGUACGCGGAUGCAAUUAUCAUCUUCUUCACCUGAUCUAAACAUAUAGUCAUAUUUUUUUUUCUCAAACACGCAGGAGAGCUGCGCAUCAAUAUAUCAAGAAGAAAGGAUUUAUAGGAAACACCCAGCAUAUAGCCAAGUUUUACAAAAACCAAACACCAAACACUUUACAAAAAACUACUCACCCUUUUAACACAAAAGGAGGAACAGACCCUACAAGGCUACUGCUAAAACUAAAUUGUGGAAGGCACCAUGGCAAGGAGAUGAGAAACUCCUCUAUCCCCAGCCAGCUUCCACAUGAGCAACACCUCCCCCAACAUUGAUAGUACUUCAAUGCAGGGAAGUUGCUUCCAGACUCUAAGCGCGGUGUAUCGAAGUAUCUUCGAAUAUAGUCAAAUCGAGAGGCCACGGCCUCUUUAACACAUUCAUGCACCUUAAAACAUUUCUAACAACUGCCAAAAAAACACAUCAGUUUUGAUGCACAAGCAAUACUUUAGAUGGAAUUAUCAAUAAUGUAAUGGUUUACCUUCAGGUGUUGUCAUCAUGGAUAUGGGCAGCAUAUGCCAAUGAUCCAAAGAACUUAGCCCCUCAUUUCAAAAAAAGCCACAAAAAUCUGCACCGAUUGAAAGCCACUUCCCGACGUGCUAUCUGACACCUUCAAAAGCCUGGCCGGAGGCAUUUUACAUAACAUCCCAAAGAAAAACACUGCAGAACACAUAGAGAACAGGAUUGAACUGAUAUGCUAGAGAGAGAGCCUAAUUACAGCAUGGAGGAUUGAAUCAAGCAGUAUUCUUAGGAAAUUCUGCGGUUGAAACAACAAGGCUAAUGGUUGUACAUAACUGGAAUCGAUUCGAAUUCACAAAAUUUACCUUGAAUCAAUAAGCCAGAUUUUUGCACACAAGCCUAGAAAGUUUGCAAAUUCCAUAUUACCACAUAGAGUGUUGUUUUAUUCCUGAACAAUCCGGAGCUAGCAAAUUACGAGAUUCAGUAAAACAUUGUUUCUCAGCCACUGUAAUGUCACAAUUCUCCCUUUCUACGCUUAGAAUCUGUUUGAAUGCACCAAAUAUGCCGGGAAACCAAAAGACCACCUAAUUUUCUUUAAAUCAAAAGGCAUUGAUGCAAACAAUAAGCCUCUAUGUAGUGGCAGCUGACUGGUUGUUCACAUAAUUAACACAUAACACAUUGCGGAGAAACAUAUAGAAUAGGCUAAUAGCUAAAUCUUAGACAAAAGGAUUUCAUUAACUUGCACUAUCUUGAAGUUUUGGUCCUGCUUGUUUCACAAGCACCUGCAAGGUAUCAAUAAUGUAGAUACAUAAGCAUGUUUAAAAAAAAACAGAUAUGUUAUGCCUACAAGGAUAACAAAAUCUUGAUAAAAGAUCCUCAAGACCAUUGUUCAAGACCAGAAUCUAUCGUCAUUAGAGGAAUACUUCCCAAUUGCAGAAAAAUAAGAAUAAUUAAGCACUUCAAAUCGCUUCAUAUAUGUCAUGAAACAAUAAUUGUGCCUCAUGUGCAUAUGCAUGAAGUUUUGCAAUGCGACAUAUACAUAACUAACAACAAGACUAAGCUCAUUUCUUUUUUACUUCUUCUAAGCUAUUUCACAAAAAAGGAAAAUAGCAGUUCGACCAGUUACUUACAUCGAUGUCAUUUUCCAGAUCUUGGACACUUUGAAUUUUCUGACAAGUUCCAUGCUAACUUGGUCAAAUUUGGUUCAUAUUAUUAAAAAUCUAAUUGCUCAAAACAAUGAUGGUGGUUACAAGCACAAAACAUAUGCUUGCAGUCCAAUGAUGCAAGUAAAUCAAGACAUCCAGCUAGAGAGUCCAUACAAAGCAAAAUGGUCUAGGGAACAUAAUCAUAUUUGAAUCAGGCUUAUUAAUAGAUGACAUCAUAAACUACAACACUCACUAUUACCAAUAAACCAAAGCUCACACAAGCCUAAGAAGCUUCCUAAAUUCUAACAAGGUGUUGAUGUGACUCGUAAUUCCUUUACUGCUCUUGACUUCCAGGUUCUAGCACUGGCACCCACAGUAGGUAGCUUCCUAUAUUCUAACAGUUACUCGAUGUCGCUGUUCAAGAUUUCGCUCCUUCGGCUGCAGAAUAUGCUGAACACAAGAAUGCAGGCUUAACUUAACUGGGUCCGAGGUCCUGUUUGGGUAGUAGAUCUUUUGUGAUUCAAUUCAAAUUUGUAUAAAUUGUAAGAAUUUAGACCUAAUCCAGUUUUACCCAAACAGACUGAGCAUAUUUCCCGAUUAAUUGCAGAAUUGGCCUUAACUCUCUAGCAAUCAGGCAACAACUUCAUGCCUAUGGCCUACCAUCCAAAACUUAGAAUUCAAUGGACCAGUUACACUACAGAAGGAGCAAAAUAGAAAAGGCAUAGAUUUUGUGCGCUACAGAACAAAAAAGAGAAGUGGUGAAAGCAUAGUAGUUGAAGAGGUCCUCCCCCUCCUCGUCAGAAGUCAGCCAGGUGUGCGCAUCUUGAAGGACGCAAAGCCAUGCUGGAGGACCCCGAAGCCCACGUAAUACACAUGCUGCCUACCUCAUUUGGCUAUCACUGUCGACCUAUUCGAUACGAACACAAAUGGUUGGUUCCAAACAUUGACAUAGAGUUGUUUCGCAAAAUAAAACAUGGACAUAGAGUUCAAUGCAAGGAACAGUAAGCUGAGAAUAAAAAAAUAGCUAUAGAAAAAUUUCAAUUCCUCCUUGCUAUUCAGACAACAGAUGGUUCAUUCCAUUCUUACACAUUUAUUUACAAUACUCAUUGUAGAAAAUAUAAAUAUAAUAUUUCUAAGAAACUUAAGCAUACCUUCUGUACAUGCAAAAUUUAUAGUGUAAUGGUAGUGAAAAAAAUGAAUUGAUAAAAAAACAGAAAGAUAAUAAAAUACAAAGCUAUUGAACAUCAUCGUAUGUUCUAGUAUAAUGAAAUUGUAUACGUAAAUUGAUUAAGAGGCAAAGUCAAAAUCUUUUAAACUUCACCUCCAGCAGUGGUGCAAAUCUACAUUGUUCUCUCAAAGAUUAUACUUGUUGUACUGGACUCCUGGUACACAAUGAAAAAACAAUUGUUCAGGAUCACACUCAAUUGCCAGUUUGGGUGGUGAGUAAGGAUUAUGCUCAACUGCAAGUGUGUCUGAUGAGUACACGCAAUUCAGAAUCUUGUGUGUUCACAGAAGUCUAUUUACCUAAGCGGUGGUUGUCUAUGUGAUCCUGCUGCCCUCAUUGUUGGUGAUGGGCAGACACAAUUCUUUCAUUGGGUAGUUUCAUCCCGAUCAAAGCACAGCUCUUUCAAUGGGUAAUUUCACCAGAACCUGACAGUCAAAGCACAAUGCUAUCAUUCAGUAAUUUUAUCAAGCACCUGGCAUGCAUCAGUGACAAGUGGUGAGACGACUACCUGAUUAAGUCAAUCCCUUGGCAUCCACCAGCAUCGCAAUCUAGUUAGCCUCCUCUUCGCGCCUCUGCCAGCCACACAGCACACGGGCAACUUGAUCGGAGCUGGACGAGUAGCACGAUGAAUGGCAGCAGUACAAGAUUGAUUACUCAUGAAUAAAAUAAAGAGAGCUCAAAAUUCCACAAAAAUUCGAACGCAAUAAAAUCUACCUGAAGAUUCCCUCAAAAUCUCGAGAAAUCAAAACUUUAUACGAUACUAACUUGAGGGCAUUUCAGCGAACUCGUGGUGGGUGUCGUCCAUGUCGACCUCGACGCUAUGGGAACUGCCGGCUAUGGCGGUUGUUUCCGGUGCGGUAGCACAAGAAGGAGGAGGCCGCCUGUUGUAUGUGUUCAAAAUCAUUUCUUGUCUCCAUGUCUUAAUCAGCUAUAUCACAUAGGUAUGUGUUCACGGAUAUGUUAUCUAGUCUUUCUCCUGCAGUAAUCAUGUGGGACAAGAUGCACUGGAAGUGUUGAUUUUUUUUUCCUAGCCUAGCAGUUCUGCAGUCGUACUAUUUUCAGUACCCUCAUCUGUUUAUAGGAUUAUUUUGAUAACUGUUCAGGCACCAUGCCCUGUUAUGAUGGCGAACCCAUUCAGAUUGUAUCAUGUUAUAAUACUGUCAUUGGGAAUUUUAUGGCAUCACGACCAAACUGAAACUGUUUUAAUUUGAACGGUGACAGUUGGAAUAGUAAUUGAUAUACUUCCACCAUUGUAGUAAAUUCCAAUGUAGUAACUUGAAGCCAUUGUGGUGACUUGAGAUGAUGGUUGUCUUUUCAUAUUUUUGUCUGAACAAUUAUGUUGAUAUGAUAAACAUUGUAAGAUUUUUAGUAGGGCACUCUGAUCAUUAAUUGUGUUCAGUAGGCAAAACAUUGUUUAUCAGUAUCUGAUCAUCAUGUCAUUACCAUACUUGGUUUAAUCCUGCUUGCUCUCAUUCAUGUAGUUCAUUCGUUCUAAUUUUAAAUCACUACAUAUGCUGGAAAAGGAGCUGCUCUUUUAAUAUUUACCGGUCACUGAACACCGGCCAACAAGCUUCCAGCCAUAACUUGUAGCGUACAGGCCACGAUCUUCUAGUCCUGGGGUUAAAUAAAUGGAGACCUAGUGUCUUACCUAAUAUACUUUUUCUGUUUCAUUUCUGAUGGCAAGAUGGAUCGAUGUACACGUCUUGUGAUACAACUUAAUCUAUAUGUCAUGGUAUACCAUUCCUUUGUAUUACAUCUUUUAACCAUUGUCUAUUUGUCUUACAUCAUAUUCCCAUGGUCGAGCAUGUUGGAUUAUAGUAAAUGCAGUUGUGCUAACUUGACCAUUGACACCACCGUAGUAGUUACGAAUUUGUUCCUGGUAAAUGUGUCAUGUUGUUAUGGUAACUGGUCCAUUUUUUUUCUUUUUUGAGAAACAUAGUAACCGGUUUCCUAGAGCAUCUUGACACCAAAUUUUGGUAACAACUCACAUGGUUAUCGUAAUUUAGUUAAUGGUAAAUUAUGGUAACUCUCCAUCAAAAUUAUAGUCAUUACUCGUCAGGCAUAUAGUAAGUGGUUCCUCUAAGCAUUUUGAUGCUAAAUUGUAGCAACUCUCAGUUGUUGUAUAGAAAUUUCGACAUAUAUCUAAAGGACUAGAAGGUACAAUGCCAAUAUAGUGAUGUGAAGCCUGCUACCCUGUUUAUAUGACCUUAGAAUACCUAGUGAUGUAUCGUAAAUCUGUUACUGAUAGGCUUUAUCAAAAAUUUUAACUGAAAUAUUGGCCGACUUCAAUUAAAAUCACAACUUUAAAAGAUGUUAUAGUAAAUAAUGUUAGCUAGUGAUAGGUUUAUUUGGAGUAGGGAGUUCUGUUAUAAAAAGAAGCUUGCAAUCCUAACAUGAGCAAAAAGGAUAUAUGCUAGAGCCAUUUAAAACAAGCAUGGCUAUCUUAUUUUGUUGCUAUGUCCUCACUUUUCAAAGUAACUUUUUUUUUUGAACUGAAGGCCCGGCAGAGAUUGCCGGGCUUGUAUUAAUUAAUAGGGAAGGUAAUACAAGACUACAGGGGCUAUAGGUAGGAAAAAGAAAAGAAAACAAAACAAAGAAAGGGCUGCCCUGUUGGAUUGGGACGUCAACAUAGGUAACCACUUCACUCGCGCGGCGCCGAAACCUCCAUGGGUAGCCCUGCAUCGAUGGGAAACCUGAGGGAAGCAGACUGCACCCCACCGAGAAGGCCAUCGCCAUACAGGAUCCUCCGCCGAAGUACCGCUGCAAACACCACACUCCACCUGACAGAGUGAUACCACCGAAUUCGGGUCUCUUGUAGGCUGUCUCGCAGUCGCCACCACGAUGACACAACGCGCGGGGGCCUCGCCACAUCCAUCGUUGGACUCCAUCUCGCUCUUGUCGCCUCGGAGAAAACACCACAUGGAGGGGCCUCGCCACACCUGCCCCAGUACUCCACGUCACGGAUCCGUUUCUUUUAUCGCUGUCAGUGUGGGAAGCGAUGUUGCCCCGCUUCCCCAGAUCUCCAUUAAACAGCUGAGCCGCUGCCGCAGGUCGGCCUCUCCUCGUUGCUUUACCCGCGCACAUAGCCUUCGCCGCCACUUCAGCGAGCCAAGUAUGUCGCUUGCGCCGUCUUUCGACGAUGUAUCGCACCAGAUGGCCCAACCGAGCUGAAAAACCACCCGCAGUCCGCUGCAAACCUAGUCGUCUCACGAUGCCGUUGCCGCAAGCACCGUCCUCGGACGCAGUCCCACGCCGCACUGACCGUUGCUAAGCAACGCCAGCCGCCAUGAUCAGUUGCAAGCAGCCAGUCAACAACCGUACAACAACCCCUAGCCACCACCAUGACUGUGAUUGCCACCACGUGAGCUCAGCAGCCCCCUUCAAGCUUGCCACACGGCGGGAUUGCCGCCACCAGCUAUUGCCGCCCAAUGGAUCCAUGAUGCCAAGUCGAGUCGGGUCUCCAGAGAUGACACCUCCAAGGAGGGCACGACGCCAGUGGCGCCAUCAUCGCUCGUCCAGGAUCUAGACAGGGUUUUCACCUGGAGAAACUCCGUGCAGGAGAGUUGUAGCUCCAAGAUGACGCUCCCAACAGGAAAAACGACAGCCUAGGAUGCCGUCGUCAUCUGCAUUGGCAUGAAGGUCGGCGAGGACUUUCGCCCGAAGCAUUCCAAUCCAUCGCUGCACGUUCUCAGCUUGGCACUCGCAGACCACACCCAGAGCCGCUUAGCCAGAGCGGCGCCUCUACAUGCCCCGCCACCAUGCCUCCACCUCCGCGCUCCACCAGCCGCUGCCAGCCGUCGCGCUUCUCACGAUCUCCUCCUCUAGCGCCUCCUCCGCAUUUCCUCCUCUAGCGGCUCCACUCGCUCACUCUAAACGUCGGCUUCCAGCCUCCUCCACAUGCUGGCCUGCACUGCUGGCCUCCUCACAUCACAUGACCACAGGAUCCGGUUGCACGCCGUCGUCUGUGUAGCCGGCAAGCUGCCCUUGUCAUCGCAGUCACCUGACUCGAAGCCACCAGCCACACCUCCAUGGCGCAGCCGGCUCCCCCUGUGCAGGCCGCCGCUAGCCGCACCACCAUAGCGCCGCCAGCAAGGCCCCGUGCAAGCCACCCCAACCGUGCCACCGCCAAACACCGCGUUUCGCCUCGAGCCUUGGCGGCACCGCAGCGCACCGGCCUUCUCGCCGCUAGCGCCAGCACUCCUCUGCGCCGUAGGCCCACGCGAUCACGCCGUCUUCCUCCUUCUCCUCCCCCUCCUCUCCUCCUCCUCCCCCCCCUCCUCCAGCGCGCCGCUUCUUCCUUCUCCCAGCGGCCCUUUCCUCGGGUGGCCACAUGCAGUACGCGGACGCAAUUGUCAUCUUCUUCACCUGACCUAAACAUAUAGUCAUACAUUUUUUUCUCAAACACGCAAGAGAGCUGCACAUCAAUAUAUUAAGAAGAAAGGAUUUAUAGGAAAAACCCAGGAUAUAGACAGGUUUUUAAAAACGAAACACCAAACACUUUGCCAAAAACUACUCACCCUUUUAACACAAAAGGAAGGACCAGACCCUACAAGACUACUGCUGAAACUAAAUUGUGGAAGGCACCAUGGUAAGGAGAUGAGAAACUCCUCUAUCCCCAGCCAACAUCCACAUGAGCAACUCCUCCCCCAACAUUGACAGUACUUCAAUGCAGGGAACUUGCUUCCACACUCUAAGCGCGAUUUAUUGAAGUAUCUUCAAAUAUAGUCAAAUCAAGCGGUCACGGCCUCUUUAACACAUUCAUGCACCUUGAAGUCCAUUUGUAAAACAUUUCUAAUAACCGCCAAGAAAACACAUCAGUUUUUUUAGGGGUGCCUGCGGCUGGCUGUCCUAGGGUUUGGGGUCAGCCGAGCCGAUCGAGCAUGGGAUUAUGGGAAGGGAAGGAAGAUCGGGGCAGGUCCAUCGGAGCGAGGAGGAGACGGAGGCGAGCAAGAUCAAGGAGUUAGAUCAGCCCAUGGGUUUGUUCUUGAUAUAUUCGGCCCAACUAGAAGUAAUGCACAUGUGCGUACAAGGUCUUCCCCUGACUGUACUUCUACGUACAAGGAAUGUCGUUGUGUUUGGAGUCCGGCUUCGCAAUUCCGUACAAGGAAUAAGAAACCUUUACGGUGUCAAAUAACGCAUAUUCCCUUGUUGCAAACGGAAGCUUCAAACAGCGUGUGGUUGUGAUGAAGUCAUUGCUAUUAAAACGAAAUGAAGUCACAUGGUGUGAGGCUCUGUUUGGUUGGACCGUGAGCUGUGAAAAAGUUAUUAUGGGUUAUGAGGUAUGGAAAAGAUGAUGUGGCUUGUGAGCUGUGGAAAAAGCUGAAAGCUGCUUGGUUGAAACAACAAUGAAACUGUAUGUUUGGUAGGAAAUAUCUAUAAUGCCUCUAAAGACCUGGGAGACUAUUUAUAUGCAAAUUGCUCCUAAAAGCCUAUUGUACUCACUUGAUUGGCAUGUAAAUUGAAUAUUUUAGAACUUAUAAAAUUAAAUUUUAUAAGUUUUGCAUCAAUAAUGGUGAUAUGGGCGCAUACAAUGAUGCCAUCCGUCAACAUAACUAUCUAAAUUACAGCAAGGUGUUCAUCCCACCAUUCUUUUUGAGCAAUCAACAGUUUGCUUUGCCUCGUUCCAUCCAAGACCAGUGGCAGAAUUCUUGAACUCCAUGAACCAUGAAUAUUCCUUUUUCAUAUUGUCUAACUUGUUCUUAAAUUAUUUUUUAUCUGGUUAUCCCCUAAUUUUUCCGCAAACUUGGAUACAAGAUUUUUCCAACCACAACCAGUGAAAAGUCCUAUCAGCUUAUUCCCAGCUUCUAUCUCUCCUUUAUAGGCAUCAAUCAAAUGUCUCACAAAGAAAUUACCCCACUCUGCCUUGUCACCCAUUCUUAAAUAAAAAAAAUGGCACACAAUUACUGAUGUUCAAGUGUAUCAUGUCCUCAUUUUUUGCCAUGAAUUGAUGCGUAACAAUAUCUACUUUGAUACAGAAAGGAACCAAGAGCAAGAAGAGCUACCUACCUGCAGAGGGAAUGAUAGCGGAGUCGAGGAAGGGGUGUCCAGCUGGAGUCGAGGCCGGCGGUGGGCGUCCGGAGUUGAGGAUGACAGUGGGUGGCCGGAGUUGAGGAAGGGGGUGUCCAGCCGGAGUCAAGGCCGGGGCUAGGCGGCCAGAGUCGAGACCGGGGGUGGCCGUUGGAGUCCAGGCCAACGGUGGACAGCCGGAUUUGAGGAAGGGGUGUGGCCAGCCGGAGUUGGGGGGUGGCCGGCCGAGAUCUGAGGAUGGUCGCCGGGGGUCAAGGCGUGGUCGUCGUCGGGUCGAGGUCGGAGUUGAGGAAGGGGAUACGCGGGCUGAAGGGUCGCCACCGCCACCGCAAGAACCCUAGCGCGGCAUCGUGUGCGCGUGUCGGGCACUCGAGACGGAGAGGGGUCGCGCGGGAGGGGGGAGGGGGAAAGAAUGAACCGGUAGAACAUAACCAGUGGCACGUGGGUAAUUUUCACGAAAACGUUGAUCCCACAACGUGGAAGCAAGUCCCUAGGUGCCGUGAAAAUUGUUGAGAGGAAGCUAACCUCUUUGAUUGGCUUUUGGCUUUUCGAGUAGCAAACAGGUUUAGAAGCCAAACCAAAGAGGUAAUACACUUAAGAAGAUGUUCCUAAAAAAAAUACACUUAAGAAGCUAAAGAGACAGCUACCGUGUACCGUCGCCGAGGAUUUUACACUCUGGAGCAUAGCAUGAGGCCCACUUCAGUGAGUGGAUGAGUCACCACCAGCACCAGCAACACUUAACACAUCACUGUCAUCAUCUGUAAGGUCAGCCGGCAUAAUUACUCUGCAUGAUGUAAACUCUAGCUGCUAGGAGGAUCAUCAGCGUCAGGAUGCUGUUACAGCAUAUUGAGCUGUCUCCGUAAAUAUAAAGCCAAUAAAGUUGCAGCAAUCCAGUUUACUUCAGCUUUAGCAGUGUCAAAUUUUGAUUCUUUUACGGGCUAGAAGACAUCCUUUAUAAAGAAAAGAAGGCUGAACGUUUGCUGACUGCAAACCGAGGCACAUCAAGCGUCCCGACAUCAGAUGCAGAAAUGGUAAAAGCCUAUUUUGGUUGCAAUGGCCAUCAACGAGAGAGGUCUUGAAAUUGGUGAACAGCUAGUGACCUUCCCUACCUUAGCAAUCGAUUUGAAAUCAACAGCCUAUUCGUUAUGACUAUUGCAUUCUGGCAUUCUGCAGCAAAGAUUAACAAACACGUACUAAGGUGUGCACAAUCAACUGCAACGUUUCCUAUCCCCUGUUCUAGGGUUUCGACUUCCUCCGGCGGCGACGUCGGAGUCCAACAAAAAAGCGAGCGAUCUACGUAACCCCUCCAUCCAAAUCCCCGCGAGGAGCCUGGGAGCUAUCACCACGGGUUGCAUGGCAGAGAAGGAAACGAGGGAGAAGGGGAAGGGGAAGGACGUGGCGAUGGGUGUCGAUGGCGAGGGUGAACUGAGUCUGGAGGAGAGGCUGGAGGGGCUGAAUCUACAAGGAGAAGAAGAUGAAGAUCUUGAUUUCUCAGACGAGUUUGAUGAAUUGGUGAAGGAUGUGCGCUGGCUUGCCCUUUUUAGGGUUCAUACUUCCAAGCCUUUCAGCCAUGCUGCUUUGUUCAGCGCUAUGCGUAAUGCCUGGGCUGCAGCAAAGGAAGUAAUCUUCAAAAUUCGGGGUCCAAAUUUAUUCCUAGUCCAGUUUCAUUGUCUCGGCGAUUGGACGAAAGUGAUGGAUGGGAGUCCAUGGCUGUUUCGUGGGGCAGCGAUUGUGAUGGAGGAGUAUGAUGGUUUUACUAAUGUUUCGGAGUACAAGCUGGAUAGAAUUCCAGUUUGGGCGAGGAUCCAAGGUGUGCCGGAAGGGUUGAUGAAGAAGCGAGAUUUAGCAGAGAAGGUAGCUAAAAAGGUGGGUGAUAUUAUUAAUGUGGUGGUGAAUGAGGGCAAGAUUAACACCACUCCAUAUCUGCGUACAAAGGUGUGGCUUGAUCUGAAUAAGCCUCUAGUUCGGGUGGUACCGAUUACGCUAAAGGAGAGAAAGAUGUAUUUGGUUCAGUAUGAAAAGAUUCCAAACUUCUGUUUCUACUGUGGUGUUUUGGAUCACGAUGUAACUGAAUGUGGUGAUGGGGUGCAUAGCAAAGCAAGUUGCCAGUGGGGAGAUUGGCUUAGAGUUCCUUUCAAUGCAAUGGUGAUGGGCCGGGAGGACUAUAGUAGUGGCCGUGGUAGAGGUCGUGGGAGAGGGAGAGGUAGAGGUGGAGCAAGAGGAGGACCAUGGUUUGAUGUGAAUCCUGAUGACAUGGAUGACUCGGUUGGCGAUGAUGACGACCUUAGUAAAGUACAAGCCAAAGAGCAAGAUGGUUCUGUCAAGGGUACAGAUAAUAUGCAAAUAAUAUUGAGUGGAGACAUAAUUAGCCCAUUGAAGGAGCAGGAGAAGAAGAGGCCAAGAACAACUGAUGGGGGAGAAGGAAGUCUAACAAACACAAUUACUAGAUCGGCGCUCUCCUUCGAGGAGAGUGGCCGGGAGCAAUGAAAAUCUUAGCUUGGAACUGCCGGGGAUUGGCUAGUCUCCGGGCAGUUCGUGCGCUUCUGGAGGUCCAGAAGCGAGAAAAACCAGAUAUUCUCUUUCUGUCUGAGACUCAUCUGGGGAAAGCAAAGGCAGAGAAUCUGAGAAGGCGAUUGGGGUGUGAUAAGUUCAUCAUCCACGAAAGUGAUGGCAGGAGCGGAGGGCUGUUACUGUUGUGGAAAAAAGAGGUGGUAAUAAAGCAGUUGAAUGUUUCUCAGUACUACAUUGAUGUAGCUGUGGGCGAGGGGGAGCAAUGGAGAUUAUCUGGAAUUUAUGGUGAGCCAAUUUGGGACCAUAAAUACCGCACUUGGGAGGCUUUACGUCACCUAAAGAGUUGUAGUUCCUUGCCAUGGCUGGCGGUAGGAGAUUUUAAUGAAAUCCUUUUUCAUUUUGAGAAGGAAGGAGGGAGGGCUCGGUCUCAAAAACAGAUGCAGGAUUUUCACGACGCUCUGCAUGACUGUGAUCUAGUGGAUAUGGGGUACUCGGGUGACAUGUUUACAUGGCAACGGGGGAAGAUAAGGGAGCGUCUCGAUCGGGGCGUAACCAAUGCUCAAUGGAGUAACCUGUUCCCCAAGGCAAGUUUGGCAAAUGGGGAAACGAUUAAGUCAGAUCACCGGCCGUUGAUAGUCGAUACUGACCAGGCUGAUACUCUCCGGGUGUCAGCAGGUGGGAGCCCGAAGCGAUUUGAAGCCAGAUGGCUUAAGGAGGAGUCAGUCCAUGAGAUUGUUCACACUGCAUGGACAAGAGCCGUGGCCCAGGGCCAGGGGUCACCGCUAAUGACAAAAGUGAAUAUGAUACACUCUGACCUGCAUGUUUGGGACAAGGAGGUUCUGAAGCAACCUGUCCACCGAAUUAAGAAACUCAAGCGUGAGUUGGAGGUGCUGAGGCGAGGAAAAAUGACAGACCAAUCUGUUGCAGCUCAAAAGGAGAUCCUUCUCCAACUAGAGUUGUUACUGGAACAAGAGGAGAUUUAUUGGGUGCAGAGGGCGCGCGCAAACUGGCUUAAGCAUGGUGAUAGAAAUACUAAUUUCUUUCAUCACCACGCGUCUAGCCGGAAGAGGAAAAAUUUGAUAAAAGGUCUGGUGGAUGAGGAAGGGGUGAGACAUGAAGAUAAUACAAUGAUGGGGGCAAUGAUCAAAGAAUAUUUUUCUACAUUGUUUACAAGCGAAGUCCAGGAGAUUGAGGAGGGGCUCUUGGCUGAUGUGGAUAGGAGAGUAACAACGCAUAUGAACCAAUCUCUGUUAGCUCCAUUUACAAAGGAGGAAGUGAAGAAGGCUUUAUUCAGUAUUGGGGACUUAAAGGCCCCAGGACCUGAUGGCCUCCAUGCUAUUUUCUUCAAAAGGUUCUGGGGCAUGUUGGAGGACGACCUGGUGGAGGAGGUGCUGGGAGCUAUACAGAAUGCUAUGAUCCCAAUGGGAUGGAAUGACACCACUAUUGUCUUGAUUCCAAAAAUCGAUAAUCCUGACAAGGUAACUCAGUUCCGUCCCAUCUCUCUGUGUAACGUGGUGUACAAGAUUAUCUCUAAGAUGUUAGCACAAAGACUAAAAGCUUUUCUACCUGAGAUUAUUGAUGAUCAUCAAAGUGCAUUUGUGCCGGGAAGAUUAAUUACAGAUAAUAUUCUGUUAGCCUAUGAGUGCAUCCAUACAAUGAAGAAGAAGAAGGGGAAGAAAGGUCUUUGUGCAGUGAAGCUGGAUAUGCAAAAAGCAUAUGAUAGAGUGGAAUGGGUAUUUCUGGAGAAAAUUAUGACCAAGCUUGGAUUUGAUCAGAGAUGGAUUAAAUUAGUUAUGGCAUGUGUUACAUCUGUCAGAUAUAGUGUGCGAUUUAACUCAGUUGAAUCUGAAAUUUUUUCACCGUCCAGAGGAUUACGACAAGGUGACCCAUUAUCACCUUAUCUAUUCCUAAUGGUAGCUGAAGGUCUGUCGUGCAUGAUAAGAAAAGCGGAAGAAAGAGGUGAAUUGAUAGGGGUGAAGGUCUGUAGAGAUGCUCCAACUAUCUCUCAUCUUCUAUUUGCAGAUGAUUCGCUCAUUUUGAUGCAGGCGGAUAAAAACAAUGCUGACUGCCUUGCUAGCAUCUUGAACAGAUAUUGCGCAAGCUCGGGACAGAAAAUUAGUGAGGCCAAGUCUAGCAUCUAUUUUUCAGCUAAUACAGAAGCGGACCAGAAGACCGAGGUGUGUCAGAUCCUUAAUAUCAUGACGGAAUCAUUGAAUGACAAGUAUUUGGGAUUGCCAGCUUUGGUGGGACUUGACCGAAGUAAUUGUUUCCGUCACCUAAUUGAUAGAGUGAAUACACGGAUUAAUGGAUGGAAGGAGAAGACAUUGAGUUUGGGAGGAAAGGAAAUUCUUAUCAAGUCCAUUGCUCAAGCCGUCCCAGUAUAUGCGAUGAUGGUUUUUCAAAUUCCGAAAUCAAUUUGCAAAGGAAUCACAAAUGCUAUCUCGCAAUAUUGGUGGGGGGAUGACGAUGAACACAGGAGAAUGCAUUGGCAAGAAUGGUGGAAAAUGUGCCUACCGAAGGACAAGGGAGGCAUGGGGUUUAGGGAUCUGCAAUCUUUCAAUUUGGCAAUGUUAGCUAAACAAGCAUGGAGACUGCUGUGUGAACCGGAGUCUCUGUGUGCACGAGUGCUUAGAGCACGGUAUUAUCCUAAUGGCAAAUUGCUACAGGCGAGAAACAAGAAUGGGAGCUCGUUCACUUGGCAAAGUAUUCUAGCUGGGCUUGAGUGCUUCAAGCAUGGAUAUAUUUGGAGAGUGGGGGAUGGUACACAAAUAAAUAUUUGGGAAGACAACUGGAUUCCAGGUAGCCACAAUCUAAAAGUUCAAACGGCCAGGGGAAAUAAUUUGGUGUCUACGGUUGAUGAGUUGAUUAACCCAAUAACAAUGCAAUGGGAUGUAGACUUGCUGAAGGCUAUCUUUUGGCCGACUGAUGUUUAUCGUAUUAGACAAAUUCCUACCACAUUGGGAAGGGAAGAUGUGGUGGCUUGGCAUUAUAACAGAAGUGGUCGGUUCUCUGUUCGGUCAGCAUACCAUUGUCAAUGGGACAAUAAAUAUGGGCAGCGACAUCACCAAGUGCAGGCCAGCUUUGCUUCAGGGAACUAGCUGUGGAAGAAAUUAUGGAGAAUGAAAGUGCCAGGGAAAAUCAAGAUAUUCGGUUGGCGAGCUCUGAAAGGACUUGUGCCCUGUCGAGCCAUUUUAGCUAAUCGACAUAUUGGGCAGUUGGGAGGAUGCCCGGUUUGUCAGAAUGGAGCGGAGGACAUCAAACAUCUGCUGUUUACCUGUGAUCGAGCACGGGAAGUAUGGCAAGCUCUGGGUGUUAGGGAGAGAUUACAAUAUUAUCUUACCAUUGAUCGUUCAGGCUCAGUGGUGAUUGAUGAAAUAAUUAGAAGAGAAGAGUUGAUCGAUACUCUGAACGUGGGGUUAGCGGAAUUGGUGCUUACUGCAGGCUGGUAUCUUUGGUGGGAGAGAAGACAGAUCGUGCAUGGGGAGAAGGUCCAGCUUCCAACAAGGUCAGCUAUGUCCAUCGCAGCGCUAACAAAGAAUUAUCAAAAUGCAAUGCAGAAAGGGUCAAAGCUAAGGCAGGGAUGGAAGAAACCCACUAAAGGAAAAGUAAUGGUGAAUGUUGAUGCGGCCUUUGAUGAAGAUGGAGGAAGAGGCAGUGUGGGAUCGAUCAUAAGGGAUAGCAAUGGAGGCGUCUUAGCUGCUGCUCAUAGCUAUUUGCCCCAUUUAAUCGAUGCACCGAUGGCAGAGGCUUAUGCACUGUAGGAGGGGUUGAUGCUAGCGCAGCACAUCGGAUGCAAUCGGUUGAUUGUUCAAUCAGACUGUAUGGAGGUGGUCCAGAUCAUGAGGGAUGGUGGAUUCACGGCAAACUCGGCUGCGCCUAUAUAUGAUGAAUGCAAUAUAGUGUGGAAUGGUUUUCAGGAGAUAAGUAUCGAGCACUGUCAUCGUGAGGCGAAUCAAGCUGCUCACUUACUUGCAAGAAGAGCAAUGCAAACAAAGCAAAAUUGUACAUGGGACGAUGAGCCCCCUAGUUUUAUCCUUGAUUGCAUUGUAAACGAUGUUACUAUCCUGAGUGAAUAAAGUUUGCCGUACAGUUUCAAAAAAAAAAAACAAACACAACCGCACCUACUCAUGUUUCACCCCUGAAACAGCCAACACAAAGGACUAGGAAUUGGUCACAUUGCCCGCCCGGCCGUAGGGCAUUCUGGUCGUCUAAGCCCUGAAGGCAGCAGUAAUUAUGUUCACAAACCGUUGUCGUUGGCAUUCAAACCUAAAACUAGGCAAGUGCUCGCUGUGAAGCGGAACAUAACAAAACCACCACAAUAAUGACCAGGAGUCAAACCUUGCAACGAAAACACUGCAUAAAUAAGUCUACUAUAUUAUCCAUCCAACCAAACUGAGCUAUGAAGAUAUGAUAUUCGACAUAUCAAGACACACAACUUGGAUAUAUGACAAAAAACAGUACAUAGGUGCUCCAAAAUUAUAGGCUAGUCAUGGAACUAGAAAGCUAAAGGCUUCGGAUCAACCCUUCACUUCUUCGCCUUCUUUGGUGCCCUGUCAUCCCAAAAGUGCAGGAAGACACAUCAACAAAACAUGAUAAUUACAAACUCAAGGAAACUAUUAAUGUGCAAGGAGUUCAAAGGCCACUUGUACAAGAAAUACAGGAAAACACAUCAAGAAAGCAUGACAAUUACAUACUCCAAGGGAACUAGGAAUGCGAUAGGAGUACUAAGGCCACUUACACUGCAGACGGAGCUGGAGCAGCAGCUGAUGGUGCUGCAGGUUCCCUCGGGCCCUAAACAAAGAUGAAACAUACAUUUCAACAUGGAAUCUAAACAAAAGAAAAGACCAAAAAAAAAGAUCAAAAUGUCUUGGCCUUAAAGGGAAAAAACAUGAACCUACCAAACCAGCUCCGAACAAAUAACGACUCCAACAAUUACUGUAACAGCUAAUAAAGCUAAUGCGUGGCUCUACAAGUAGCAAGAUUAACAUUUUUGUAACAUGUUCAAGUGGAUCAAGAACACACAUUUUAAGACAAACUAAUAAAACUAAUGCAUGGCUCUACAAUAUGUUUUAAGAACAUACUUUCAUGUUUCAGUGGAUCAAAAAAUAACUAUUUAAUGGCAGUUCAAAUUUGCUAGUCCACAAGGCCCGGUUCAGAAUCCUAGUAUCACAUGGGCAUUAAAAGGCAUUCCAGCGUCAUAUAAUCAGCAGGUUGCCACACAAAUUCAGAAAUAAAUGCAGGUCUGAGUUAACAAGACAUUAUCUUACCUGGGCCAACCUCUCCUCCCUCCUAGCAAGCUUUCUCUCUCUGCUCGCCUUGCUCUUGGCACGUCUGGCCUCGAACUGAUCAGAGAGGGUCUUCUCCCUCGCCUUCUCAGCUUUUGACUUGUGGAUGCUCUCCAUCAGCACCCUCUUGUUCUUGAAGCUAUUUCCCUUGACCUUAACAUACAUCUCAUGAUACAUAUGUUUAUCAAUCUUCUUUGCCUCCCUGUACUUGCGGAGCAGGCGCCUCAGAACCCGCAUCCGACGCAUCCACAAUAUCUUGGUGGGGAGCCUAGCCUCCCUGGUACCCCUGCGCUUACCUGUAUAGUUUUUGGAUUAACAUAUAAUUUUAGGAUUUCAAAAAUGAAGAAGCAUCAGAUACAUAUGUACCAGACACAUAAAAUGGGAAAACCAGUGUAGCAGCAGUAUACCAUAUCCAGAGUGGCGUCCCUUCUGCUUGGCCUCAUGCGCCCUCCUUGCACGGGACCUGGAGUGGAUCUUCUGAGGCUUCCUGAUGAUGAAACCAUCCUUAACCAACUUCCUGAUGUUCUGGCCUGUAAGUUUUGUACCAAGCAUAUGGUCAUACUUAUGUUCCUUUCAGUAGUCAAUAGCAGAAAAAGAUAUUACAAUCUCAAUAUUUAACAAAAGCACAUUACACAGAGUACAAGUCCAAUCACAACACUCUCACUCAUCAAAACUGAAUUAACUCAAAAGACCAGAGCAUCCCAGAAGGUCAUAAUUGUGGUCUGUAUGACACGUACAUGAUAAAUCGGGGUAGCAGAAUUGUUUUAACUUUACCGAAUCACAUAAAACUGAAGAAACAUACCUAAGUAAUAAACCCAUCAAUUCAAUAUGCUUGGCAGGUACAAGGAAAUACAUCAUAAUAACAGAAAUGCUUCUUUCAUUGCAAAUCAUCACUUGCAUUCGCUGUACUAGGAAAAUAUCAAAAUUCAAGCUUUUUAACUACAUACAAAACUGCAUCACUCAGCAUAUAAUAUCUUCAACAGCUAAACUAGCAUCACAGACAAAUUAGACUGUACACAGCUAACAGGUAAUAAAUUCCAACAGCAACUACAACCUUCAUGCAAUUUAAGAGCACUAUCAGAGUAAAAUGGAUAAACAAUCUUGAUGGUGGUUACCACUGACGUCGUGGGUGACCUAAUAUGAACACCUGCAGCAAUGCAAAGCAAACAAAACAAGCUUUCCAUCGCUGCUUAUACCAACAAAAUAAACUGGCUUGUAUAUCUAGAUGGGUACGAACCUCAACAACAGCGAACCACAAGGACCUACCAGUCUAUCAAACGGAUCGGCCCAGCUGAUUUACUAGCGGAAUCACCACUUACCGCUGGCCUAAACGAAAUCAUCAUAGGCUCGAAAUUAAUCGUACGCGAGCAGAACUACAGAUCUAUCCGUACGCCACUAACCCAGCCCACUGGGCAACCAAGGAAGGAACGGGUGAUCGAUGGACGGAGGCGCCACACAGGAAACAAGGGCUGGCGCGCGGAGGGGGCGAGGUGCGGGGGGAAAGGGAGGUGGUCUUACGGGAGUUCGCCAUGGAGAUCUCGCUGACUUCAUUGGGAUCGAGCCAGACCUUGCCCUUGCCGCACUUGAGGACGCUGGCGGCGAGGCGCUUCUGCAGCUUCAGCGACACCAUCUUCUCCGCCGCCGAGAGGCUCUCCUCCGCCGGGUGGGUUGUGUGGUGGCGCAAGGGGCU
rnacentral:lncRNA from 1 species